UCUAAUUAUCCUAACCUGCUACAUUAAUUCUCCCAACCUGCUGCACAAGUUCUCCUACAUUUGCAAGGAUUUUAUUUUGACAAAAGGAUAUAUCCCUUCUCUUCAAAACCCUCUUUGACCUGCCCAAGGCCUUCUGGGAGAAGGAGACAGGAGCUGAGGACGUACUUUACCCAGCAGGACCUUCCUCUGACACCACGUGGUGUCCUUGAUGGCUGGUUAUACUGUUACAUUGAUGCGGUUGACCUGGAUCACUGGUUGCUGUGGAAAAUGAGGAGGUCAAAAGGAGGUUGUUCCCCUUGCUCUGCAGGGAACGUGGCUUUUGUGGAGCGAUGGCUAACGAUGCUUCUUGGGAAGCAGUUGUUGAAAGAGGGUCCUUUAUUCGAGCCCAAAUAGAGGCGAGGAGAGGGACGGAAGUGAAACUGUUACAUUAGAAUCACAUCUGGCAGUGAUUACAGCUGUGAGUCUUUCUGGGUAAGUCUAUAAGAGCUUUGCACACCUGGAAUCUACAAUAUUUGCACAUUAUUCUUUUAAAAAAUUCUUCAAGCUCUUUCAAAUUGGUUGUUGAUCAUUGCUAGACAGCCAUUUUCAAG